rnacentral:rRNA from 1 species
UACGUAGGGGGCUAGCGUUAUCCGGAAUUACUGGGCGUAAAGGGUGCGUAGGCGGUCUUUCAAGCCAGAAGUGAAAGGCUACGGCUCAACCGUAGUAAGCUUUUGGAACUGUAAGACUCGAGUGCAGGAGAGGAGAGUGGUAUUCCUAGUGUAGCGGUGAAAUGCGUAGAUAUUAGGAGGAACACCAGUUGCGAAGGCGGCUCUCUGGACUGUAACUAACGCUGAGGCACGAAAGCGUGGGGAGCAAACAGGAUUAGAUACCCUGGUAGUCCCUGA